CUUGAGUAUUUCGGAGCGCUAACGAUAUCACAAUGCAAUUGUUUGGCGGACUGUGUGUAAUCAGCGGACGCGACCGUGAAUAAAUGUUGUCCAAAAGCCAUUGGCAACAGAUCCCGAGCAGCGGCGAACGGAAGUUGGCGAAACGAUUCGAAACGAACACCGGGCGAAACCUCUAAAAUGUUUUCAUAUGCAGGCUAAUUAUGUGGCUGCUGUCGUGUUUGAACUUUUGCAGCAGCUGGAACGGAAGAGCCACCGGGAGUGGGAACCCAUCCGAGUGGGUGGGCGGUAUGGAAAUGGUAACGGACUAUGGAGAAUGGAGAAUGGAGAACGGAGAUUGGCGGGCGC